AAAAAAAAAUGUUGAUUUAUUGAACUGACUGCCGAAAAAGAAGAGGAAGACGAAGAUGAAGAAGAUCAAUCUGACCUUGAGGCUAAUAAUGAAGGGCCGGGGAAGGAGGCCAGUGCUAGGAGGGUUAUCUCACUGCCUCAGAUGCUGGAUAAGUCGAAGGAAGCAGAAUCGCUUUUGGAUGACAUUCAGAAAGGCCGGAGUGAUUAUUUGGGAGAGAAAAGCCUGCCUAUUCUUUUCCAAGGUGCGUGACUGUUCCCCUGGCCUGCCCAUCCACUGAUGAAUUAUUAGCAACGUGCCUUAGACAAAGGACGCACGGGAGCCCCACCACACCUAGAGCCACGCUUUGAAGGAUCUGCCAAGCUCACUUUUAAUCAUGAGAAAGAAAUUACCCACAUGGAGUCAGCAGAAAAUGAGAAAGUAGAGCUCGUGCUGCGAAUAAUUCCAGCAAGUGCCAAGGGGCUAGUUGAGGAAUGGCUUCAUGAAGUGAAUAUCUUUAGCUUGUACUUAGGGUUUGGUUAGCGUAUAAUCAUUUUCUCUUUUAGGAGCGUUGACUAUCCUCAGUGUCUUUCCUCACUAAAGAGUGCUCAGAGCAUUCGUCAGGAUGUUGACAGAUUUAAUAUCAGUCUCGUCCUUGUUGUUAUUUACUAUGACUAAUUUUACAUGUGCAGAUAUGCAAAAAUCAAUUUAGGCGGAGAGGCGCUCCGGAGCCAACAACUGUUAACCGCUGUAUGUGUGUGUGUCUCGCUUGCGAGUGGAUGUCCAGUAAUUUCUGUCUCUGUGUGUGUACGUGCCCUUGUUCUUGUCUUCUCUCCGUUGUGCCAUAGGUUGGGAGGUUUGGCCAGCCAAUGCCUGCUCAGAUGUGGUCUGAGGCUUUCAUUUGAUUUUUGGACCAGGAAAAAAAGAAUGUGUCACAUCAUGAUUAAUGGUCAAUCUGAAUUUUCAAUUCAUAUGAAAGGAGAAGGGGGAGGAGGAUAUGAGCCCAGUGAUGAGACGAACCUUUUCCCUUUGGGAAGAGCAUGAUUCAAAUUAAACAUCACUUUCAGUGUGAAAUUAGUUUGAAGGCUUCUUUUUUUUUCUCCCCCCGUGCCUGGUUUAACUCCAUGGUGGCUGCUCCUGCAGAGAGGACCCUUCCAUCCGGCCUCUGUGCCCGAAUCUGUUCCCAGUAGGCCAUAGUUCCUCUUCUU